UGGGGGAUAUUGCGCAAUGGGGGAAACCCUGACGCAGCAACGCCGCGUGAAGGAUGAAGGUUUUCGGAUUGUAAACUUCUUUUAUUUAGGACGAAUUAUGACGGUACUAAAUGAAUAAGCUCCGGCUAACUACGUGCCAGCAGCCGCGGUAAUACGUAGGGAGCAAGCGUUAUCCGGAUUUACUGGGUGUAAAGGGUGCGUAGGCGGCUUGGUAAGUCAGAUGUGAAAUGUAUGGGCUCAACCCAUGCACUGCAUUUGAAACUAUUGAGCUUGAGUGAAGUAGAGGUAGGCGGAAUUCCCUGUGUAGCGGUGAAAUGCGUAGAGAUAGGGAGGAACACCAGUGGCGAAGGCGGCCUACUGGGCUUUAACUGACGCUGAGGCACGAAAGCGUGGGUAGCAAACAGGAUUAGAUACCCUGGUAGUCCACGCUGUAAACGAUGAUUACUAGGUGUGGGGGGUCUGACCCCUUCCGUGCCGGAGUUAACACAAUAAGUAAUCCACCUGGGGAGUACGACCGCAAGGUUGAAACUCAAAGGAAUUGACGGGGGCCCGCACAAGCAGUGGAGUAUGUGGUUUAAUUCGAAGCAACGCGAAGAACCUUACCAGGUCUUGACAUCGAGUGACGAAUCUAGAGAUAGGUUUUUCCUUCGGGACACAAAGACAGGUGGUGCAUGGUUGUCGUCAGCUCGUGUCGUGAGAUGUUGGGUUAAGUCCCGCAACGAGCGCAACCCUUGCUAUUAGUUGCUACGCAAGAGCACUCUAAUAGGACUGCCGUUGACAAAACGGAGGAAGGUGGGGACGACGUCAAAUCAUCAUGCCCCUUAUGACCUGGGCUACACACGUACUACAAUGGCAGUCAUACAGAGGGAAGCAAAGCUGUGAGGCGGAGCAAACCCCAAAAAGCAUUCUCAGUUCAGAUUGCAGGCUGCAACUCGCCUGUAUGAAGUUGGAAUUGCUAGUAAUCGCGGAUCAGCAUGCCGCGGUGAAUACGUUCCC
rnacentral:rRNA from 1 species